rnacentral:rRNA from 1 species
AGAGUUUGAUCAUGGCUCAGAUUGAACGCUGGCGGCAUGCCUUACACAUGCAAGUCGAACGGCAGCGCGGGGGCAACCCUGGCGGCGAGUGGCGAACGGGUGAGUAAUACAUCGGAACGUGUCCUGGAGUGGGGGAUAGCUCGGCGAAAGCCGGAUUAAUACCGCAUACGCUCUAAGGAGGAAAGCGGGGGAUCUUCGGACCUCGCGCUCAAGGGGCGGCCGAUGGCGGAUUAGCUAGUUGGUGGGGUAAAGGCCUACCAAGGCGACGAUCCGUAGCUGGUCUGAGAGGACGACCAGCCACACUGGGACUGAGACACGGCCCAGACUCCUACGGGAGGCAGCAGUGGGGAAUUUUGGACAAUGGGGGAAACCCUGAUCCAGCAAUGCCGCGUGUGUGAAGAAGGCCUUCGGGUUGUAAAGCACUUUUGUUCGGGAAGAAAUCCUUCGGGCUAAUACCUUGAGGGGAUGACGGUACCGGAAGAAUAAGCACCGGCUAACUACGUGCCAGCAGCCGCGGUAAUACGUAGGGUGCGAGCGUUAAUCGGAAUUACUGGGCGUAAAGCGUGCGCAGGCGGUCCGCUAAGACCGAUGUGAAAUCCCCGGGCUUAACCUGGGAACUGCAUUGGUGACUGGCGGGCUAGAGUAUGGCAGAGGGGGGUAGAAUUCCACGUAGCAGUGAAAUGCGUAGAGAUGUGGAGGAAUACCGAUGGCGAAGGCAGCCCCCUGGGCCAAUACUGACGCUCAUGCACGAAAGCGUGGGGAGCAAACAGGAUUAGAUACCCNNGUAGUCC